UACGUAGGGUGCAAGCGUUGUUCGGAAUUACUGGGCGUAAAGGGCUCGUAGGCGGCCAACUAAGUCAGACGUGAAAUCCCUCGGCUUAACCGGGGAACUGCGUCUGAUGACUGGAUGGCUUGAGUUUGGGAGAGGGAUGCGGAAUUCCAGGUGUAGCGGUGAAAUGCGUAGAUAUCAGGAAGAACACCUAUGGCGAAGGCAGCACUCUGGGACGGUACUGACGCUGAGACGCGAAAGCGUGGGGAGCGAACAGG
rnacentral:rRNA from 1 species